rnacentral:rRNA from 1 species
UACAGAGGGUGCGAGCGUUGUCCGGAAUUACUGGGCGUAAAGGGCGCGUAGGCGGCCUGAUAAGUAGGAGGUGAAAUUCCAUGGCUCAACCAUGGAUCGGCCUUCUAGACUGUCAGGCUUGAGCACGGUAGAGGCAGAUGGAAUUCCCGGUGUAGCGGUGGAAUGCGUAGAGAUCGGGAAGAACACCAGUGGCGAAGGCGGUCUGCUGGGCCGUUGCUGACGCUGAGGCGCGACAGCGUGGGGAGCAAAC